GGGGGUGUAAAGGUUUCGACGGGGGUAAUAAGCAAAGGUUGCAUGCCGAGGUCCGGGUGGCUCGUAAAACAAUCCGGGACGCAUUAAGCGCCGAUAAUUACGAUUACGCUUUAGCAGCUUAAUAACCUGCUAACGAUCUACCUUCCCUCUCCCAUGGGGCAGGAUAGAUCGUCAUUUCAGUGGGAUAGCCGAGGGAAGUGCCUGUGGUCCCGAAGCGAAAUUAAAGCAGGAUCGAACCUGACAAAUCCCGGCCAGUGGAGUUCUCGGGGGCUAAAACAAAAACUGGUAUAAGCAUGUAGACGCCUUUCGUGUACGAUCUUCGGACGCGGGUUCGAUUCCCGCCACCUCCACCA
rnacentral:tmRNA from 2 species